rnacentral:rRNA from 1 species
CCUACGGGUGGCAGCAGUGAGGAAUAUUGGUCAAUGGACGAGAGUCUGAACCAGCCAAGUAGCGUGAAGGAUGACUGCCCUAUGGGUUGUAAACUUCUUUUAUAUGGGAAUAAAAUGUUCCACGUGUGGGAUUUUGUAUGUACCAUAUGACUAAGGAUCGGCUAACUCCGUGCCAGCAGCCGCGGUAAUACGGAGGAUCCGAGCGUUAUCCGGAUUUAUUGGGUUUAAAGGGAGCGUAGAUGGGUUGUUAAGUCAGUUGUUAAAGUUUGCGGCUCAACCGUAAAAUUGCAAUGGAUCCUGGCAGCCUUGAGUACAUGUGAGGGAGGGGGAAUUCGUGGGG